UCGCAAGCGAAGCUGCUCACCACACCUCUGUGCGGAAGCGCAUACCUUUUUUGUUGUUGUUGUUGUUUUUAAAUUGGCUCCAUGGAUACGAGCCACCGCACGGUUAGGAUACAAUAGGUGGCAGUAGUGCGACAUUGAGAAUGCAAUCCACCGCAAUCCUCCACAGAAGAAGAAGACCCACUACAGAACUGCACGACAUUAGUCAGCUGGUUUGUAGCGUAGUAGAACCAUACGUCUACGAUCCCGAAUCUGACCCUGAAGCUGAAGAGGAGGCUGUUGAAGUCACCACAUUUCGGCUGAUGCAAGAUGUGUCUCAUUGUUGUUACAGGUAUCUAGUCUACAGAGGCUAGUGAGCUGGUGCUGAGGAUUCCUGGGGUGAAGAAUCUGAGUUGCCAUCUCUUCAUGCUUGGGUUGUAGAUGAAGGCAGUUUCCUGAUGGAUAAAACACUAAAACACUCAUAGUAUGAUUGAUGUAGACCACCUGUAGAAUAACUCCUUUACCGUUUGAGUAAAAAUGUGUUUUUUGAGUGCAACACUCAUUAAGAUUUUUUUUAACUUUAUUUAUAUAUAAUUUAUAUGCGUUUUAUUUAUGGCCGCUUCAACUUUAUAGCUUACCAUAUUAGAAAGAGAAAAACAUGUAAUUUCAAUACUAUGAUUUCCUAAAUAAAAGUGUUUUCCCUUCAGAAA